rnacentral:lncRNA from 10 species
GUUUGGAAAGGCUGAAUGCCACAUGACCCAUAAAAUAUGAACUUUCAGUUUUCAAUCAAAUGAGGAGGGGAAGUGGCUCUGUGUUCUCACCAGAGUGUUUUAAAUAAUCUCCUCUAUAAAUAUAUAUAUGAUUGGACUCUAUAACACUAUAUAUAAUAAAGGUGGGUAGCAAAACCUGUUUUCUACCUCAACAUUGUUUAUGCUAUUUUAAUAAGUUGAAUAAACUUGGGAAACUAAGAAAAUGUCACUUUUCCAACUCUGCCAGGAAGGAAUCUGACAACUGCUACAUAAUCACUGAAAUGCUGCAAUUUGUUAAAAUGCUCCUAAUAAUUUUUUCUGACUUUUAUCCAAAGGCUAAAGUACGACAGAGAGAGAGCAAGAGAAUCGGGCUAAUGAUGAUUAACAUAUUACAGAGAAGGAAGGCUACCAUGAUUAAUUUCAAAGUCAAAGUGCUAGGGAGUUGGCACCUUCACAGAAUCUCUGAUCAGGGGAGAGAGCAGGAGUUUGAAAAGAGUGCAAAAAAAAACCACAGCCUUUAAAAUAAUGAACAGCUUUCCCAAGUCUUGCCAUACUGCAAAAACACCCAUACACCACGCAUGCAUACAAUUCCCAGGGGCUCAUAAAUUAAUUUAGUGACAAAAGAUUGUACCCAAGUGAUAAAGGUCCAGUACUACGAUUAUCUUUAUGGAUAAUUGGGGCCAUAAAAUAGUUCCAAAGCACCUUUUAUUUGUCAUUUGUUGACAAUUCAACCAAUUCUCCUGUCUGCCAUCCUCCAUAUUUAAUAGGUCCCUAUCGAAGUAUGCAACACACUCGUUCGUAUGGGAAGAAUGUCUUCAUAUUGUUAUGCCAUUGCAUAUCCUUUACUUCCUUACGUUGUUCAUCAGUCUACCUCCUGCUCUCUUUUUUUUUCUAUGACACCUCUGAGAUGGUACCCAUAGCAACACCCCUGAGAAGAAGGUGAAAGUGAAGAUGCUGCAGUCAUCCCCAGCGCACAGUGCUGACAAUGCCAGUCAUUAAUGCAGCAGCUUCUGCCUGCUCAGAUCUCCCUCGCUCCUCUCUGGUCUUGUUUCCCUCCAGUAGCAGCCACAGAGCUCACUCACAGAGAUCCAGAGACUUGCUGUUAAUGAUUUGUCACUUGUUUAGAACACCUCAGGAUGGCAGACAACAAGGAAGUUCUGGCAGAUGAAUGGAAGCUAAGCUCUCCUGGAUGGAGAGUGUUAGAAGAGACACUGGAAACUCAGUCCCAAGAUGCUCAGUUUAGUGUUCCUAUUGUUACAACCUGUGACUUCACACAGAAUGAGUGAACAAUGAACAUCUCAGCAAUUGAUAAAAUGAUCCUUCACCAGCCAGGACCUUUUAAAAGAAUUGUCUUAUAACUUCAUCUUAAAGAGCAUCUUCUGACAUUUGUUUGCUGAAACAUACAUUACACUUCUGCUAUCUCAUUCCUUUUCCACAUAUGCUUCCUAAGCCUGGCUUUAUAUUAAAAUAUGAAAGUUACUGGGAAAAAUAAUUCCACUUUCAAGCUGUAGGCCUUUUCCUACAGCUCAAAAUUAUCACAUUUAUUUGAAAGACGUUUCUUUAAAACAUCUGGAAGAUACACCAAAGUGAUAAGCUGGAGAGAAGAAAUCCUUUGCUCCAGGAAUACAUUCUUAAAUAUAAUGCUGAAGAACAUAAUACAAACAGGAAAAUGAAAAUCACCCAUAAUCCCAUCACUGUGAAACUGUAUUUCCUGCAUGAUAUAUAUUUAUUUUUCUAAAUCAAACCACAUUUGGCAUAGGACCCAACCCCCUAGGAAAUCCAACUUAAGUCAUUUUUUUAUUUCCUCUCCUUUAUGAUCUUAAGUUCUAUGGUUCCUUUAAGAACCAUAGAACUUACACAAUCCAAAAAACUUUGGAAGAAGGAUCUUCCAAAUUGUCCUUCAGUCAAGUGUAGUCUCCAUUACAAUGAUCAUGGUCAACUCAAACGCAUGUUCCUGUUGUCCCUUCAGUCAUGUAGACCCAUUGCUGUUGCUCAAGGCCAGUUUAAAUCAUCUUUGAAAGCAUACUUUUUAUAUGUGUAUAAUGUUCCAUCCAAUGGUUAUGUCAUAAUUUCUUUAUUCCUCUAAUUUGACAUUUAGAUUCUUUCAAGAAUUUUUGUUAUUACUUGUAAGCUAUAAAACACUACAGAUACACACAAAUCUUUGGCCACAUCUCUAUUUUAUAAGGAUAAGUUUUUAGCAAUGAGAUUCCUGUAUUAAGUACAGAUAGCUUUAAGGAUCUUUAUUCUAACUUAAAAAUUACUUUUCAAAAAUGUUAAUGUAUUAAUAACUUAGUUUUUACAAAUAUUUGUUGCAGAUUUUCUUGUCUGUUUCAUGUUUAUUGAAAUGAAUAGCUUUAAUUUUUAUGCAGUCAAAUUUAUGCAUAUUUUUCUUUGUAGUUUUUUUCCUCUGUUUUAUGGUUAGAAGUCCCUUCUGUAUCUGGAAAUCUAAUAUUAUUUUAAUUUUUUAACACAUUAAUCAAACAAAAAUGCAUUUGCUACAAAGAAUGAGCUUAGAACCUCUUUCCCCCCCCACCACCCCAAAUAGUUAAUCAAUUCCCAUCACCAUUUCCUUUGCCCAGUAACGUAUACUUUUUUAUAUGGUGGAGCCCAAAUAUCCCUAUGUGAAGAUGAGCAUUUGGGUCAAAUGAGUAAGGAACUUCCCUCUGGGAAAAAUUUAAAGGGGGCACAAAAAAAACCUUCAGUAAUCAACAUAAAUAAUAUUACAAUACAAUAUUUGAAAAAUCAAAACUAAUGCAAAAAUUUCAGAUAAGCAAUACAUUAAAAUUUUAAGAAAAUUCAGAAUCAAGUCCUGUAGCCUUCUGGUGUCAUUCUUUAAAAUCAAAUCUGUACAAAGUAACAUGAGUGCUAGCAGUCUCCCUAAUAUUUCCAGGGAUACCUGUAGGACUUACGUUCCUCAGAGUACUUACAUCUCAUGCCAAACCCUUGCUCAACUGUCAAACACUUGUGACCAUCACAUCACCACUCUGAACAGCUUCAUUCUUAGCAGGGACACAGUCCCUUUGUCUUUAUUUCCCAAGGCACUGCUAACGCAAGGCUGUUAACACUUAAAUUUUUACUGAAAGUUUGGAGGUAAUUGAGGGAGAGUACAACACAGACAGGGAAACACCCCAAGAUUCAUUGUGAAACAUCACUGCAUCUAAGAUUCUUCACUGGUCAACCCCCAGAUCAUGGUCACAGUGAUUCCUCCUUAGAUUGGCCAGAUGCUAGGCUGAUUUCUUCAUACUGAUUUGUCUUCCCCAUCACGUCUUUCCUGAGCUCAACAAUUGUCAGCCUUCCUUCCCCGUCCUUUCUUUUUUCAGUUCAGGUUAUCACAGAAACACCAAAAAUCCUUAUUUCUUUACUGUGUAAAGUAAGCUCCUAGAGUAUUGGCCUUUGUGUCAGAUAGCGCUAGUUUUUUCUUCAUCUCUUUCCCCUGGCCCUUAGCACUUCAGAGCUUGCCGGUCUGACUUCCAACUAACAGCACCUCCAUUUACUUACCUGAGGCUUUAUCUGGCCACCAAAUUUUGUUUUAUCUACAGGAGCAGCAGGUU